AAGAACUGCUCCUUCUAGGCAGUUAGACAGAUUACCAGCAUCUUGUAGUGUUCUCUGGGAGUUUAAGUUGAAAAAGCAACACAGGAAAGUGUUGGAUAAAGGAAAACCUGAAGAUGUGAUGCCAUCUGUUAAGGGUGCCCAGGAGCGCCUGCCAACGGUACCGCUGUCUGGCAUGUACAAUAAAUCUGGAGGAAAAGUGAGACUCACCUUUAAACUAGAACAAGACCAGCUGUGGAUUGGCACUAAAGAGCGGACUGAGAAAUUGCCCAUGGGCUCCAUAAAAAAUGUGGUCAGUGAACCUAUCGAAGGACAUGAAGACUACCACAUGAUGGCGUUUCAGUUGGGCCCCACGGAAGCCUCUUACUACUGGGUGUACUGGGUUCCAACUCAAUAUGUGGAUGCAAUCAAAGACACUGUGCUGGGGAAAUGGCAGUAUUUUUGAAAGCACUUUCACCUCUGGCCCAGGAGACUGACCCAAAGUGAAGGACAUUGCUGGGAGAGGCCUGCAGCAUCCCUGGAUUUCAGAGUUCUGGAACUUUGUUCAUAAAAAAUCUAUAUUCAAUCUGAGGUGAUGUGGUGACUGAAGCCAGAGGUGAUGUACUUUCCCCAUUAGCUUAAUUUUAACUUAAAAUUACCAGUUCCCUUUCUUGCAGUCAGCUUCAUACCAUUUUUAAAGUCAAUACGAUGGAAAUCAAUAAAUCUGAAUUCC
rnacentral:sRNA from 1 species